UGGGGAAUAUUGCACAAUGGGGGAAACCCUGAUGCAGCGACGCCGCGUGAGUGAAGAAGUAUUUCGGUAUGUAAAGCUCUAUCAGCAGGGAAGAAAAUGACGGUACCUGAGUAAGAAGCCCCGGCUAACUACGUGCCAGCAGCCGCGGUAAUACGUAGGGGGCAAGCGUUAUCCGGAUUUACUGGGUGUAAAGGGAGCGCAGACGGCUCUGCAAGUCUGAAGUGAAAGCCCGCGGCUUAACCGCGGGACUGCUUUGGAAACUGCAGGGCUUGAGUAUCGGAGGGGCAGGCGGAAUUCCUAGUGUAGCGGUGAAAUGCGUAGAUAUUAGGAAGAACACCGGUGGCGAAGGCGGCCUGCUGGACGAAAACUGACGUUGAGGCUCGAAGGCGUGGGGAGCAAACAGGAUUAGAUACCCUGGUAGUCCACGCGGUAAACGAUGAAUACUAGGUGUUGGUGCCCGAAGGGCAUCGGUGCCGUCGCAAACGCAAUAAGUAUUCCACCUGGGGAGUACGUUCGCAAGAAUG
rnacentral:rRNA from 1 species